rnacentral:rRNA from 1 species
CUGGUUGAUCCUGCCAGUAGUCAUAUGCUUGUCUCAAAGAUUAAGCCAUGCAUGUCUAAGUCCAAGCUGUGUUCACACGGCGAGACCGCGGACGGCUCAUUAAAUCAGUCGUGGUCCAAAUGGGCCAGUGCAAAUCCUACUUGGAUAACUGUGGUAAUUCCAGAGCUAAUACAUGCAACUGAUAUCCCGAAGGCGGUGGUUGUGCUUGCUUGUCUUGCGCUCUCACUGCUCUGACGGAUGCUUUUAUUAGACCAAACUGCUGAGGACUUGAGGGCUUGCCUUCUUGUCUGACUCGUGUAAUGGUGACUCUGGAUAACCUUCUGACAAGCGCACGUACUUCUCUUCUGAGCGAGACGGCGCUGCCACUUUCGAGUGUCUGCCUUAUCAGCUAUCAACCGUUCGUUAUGCGCGACCGAUGGCUUUGACGGGUAACGGGGAAUCAGGGUUCGAUUCCGGAGAGGCAGCCUGAGAGACGGCUACCACGUCCAAGGACGGCAGCAGGCACGCAAAUUACCCAAUCCCAGCAAAUGGGGGAGGUAGUGACGAAAUCUAACGAUGCGGGCGCCCUUUCUGGGGCCCCGCAAUCGGAAUGGGCACUUUCUAAACAACCUGUUGAGAACCUACUGAAGGGCAAGUCUGGUGCCAGCAGCCGCG